UACGGAGGGUGCAAGCGUUAUCCGGAUUCACUGGGUUUAAAGGGCGCGUAGGUGGCUUGGCAAGUGGAAGGUGAAAUCCCUCGGCUCAACUGAGGAACUGCCUUCCAGACUGCUUUGCUUGAGGCCGGGAGAGGCGAGUGGAAUUCCCAGUGUAGCGGUGAAAUGCGUAGAUAUUGGGAGGAACACCAGUGGCGAAGGCGACUCGCUGGACCGGUUCUGACGCUGAGGCGCGAAAGCGUGGGGAGCAAACAGG
rnacentral:rRNA from 1 species